rnacentral:rRNA from 1 species
UAGGGAAUCUUCCACAAUGGACGCAAGUCUGAUGGAGCAACGCCGCGUGAGUGAAGAAGGUUUUCGGAUCGUAAAGCUCUGUUGUUGGUGGAGAAGGAUAGAGGCAGUAACUGGUCUUUAUUUGACGGUAAUCAACCAGAAAGUCACGGCUAACUACGUGCCAC